UGAAAAUCACACGGAGAAAACAGUCGAGUAACACAGAGUGCGCAUGCGCAGUUGAAAAAUUCUUAAACUGUCACCAAUCAUGCACCAGAAGUGGUGAAUGAUAAAUCGAGGGUGAUUGGUUAUAUCGUAAGUUUUCCUGAUUGAGAAAAAAGAGAUGAUUGCAUCCUGGGGACGAUUGUCUUUAGGAAAACAUGGGACUGAUCUUUGAAUCAAUUUAUUCUCCUGGUAACACCUGCAGCAGUAAAAUCACCCCUUUGGGGUUUUUUUCUGUUUAAUUUAUAUGCAAUUGGGAUGAAUUUGAGCUAUUAGUGAGGGAAUGAACUUGCCUGACGAGCAUGUGAUUGCUGCGUGAUAUUUGGAUACAGGUGGAGAGGGGAGCAAGGACGGGGCAAUAUUCAUGCGAAUCGCUGAGAAAAAUAUACACCAAGAAUAAUGGAUAUUUGCGUUGGUGUUAUCCAAGGAAUACGUAAUUCAGUCGCACCUCGUAUUCUCAUAUUUAAUCACGAUGAUUGAUUAGAAGAGAUAUGAAAUAAUAGUACACUCUAAAUUCCUUUUUUAAUUCUGUUUUCAAUUUCUUUUUCCUUCAAAAAGUCCAUGACUUUGAAUGAAAUUUGAAUUCAAAUCCCUCACAAAUUUUCUCACCGUAAAAUUCUUGAAAAUUGGGGAAAAUCGAAAAAACGAAACGAAAAUAAUCAAUAGAACAAAACGAAUAGGAUUUCUGGAAUGUUGCAAAUAUGAAGAAAGAGACUGUGAGGAGUUCGUGAAAAUCUUUUUUUAAAUUCUUUAUUUAUUAAAUAAGAUAUUAGCAUCUUAUCAUCAUCCCUCAUAAAAAAUUCAUGCAAUUAAUUAUAUGGGAAAUGUCUGAAAAUAGACAUUUGGACUCGUCAUGAUUCAUAUUUCAUAUUCCAUCGAGAUAAUUCGAAAAAUUCUGAGGCUUGCACUGACUCAUUCCGUACUAUCCUGAAACUAUUAGAAUACAAUUUUCCCUCGUCAUAUUUUCUCUAUCCUUGUUCCUUGUUUCAAUUGAAAUUGAUUUAUUUUUUUUGGUAGGGGAUGCAGAUUCAGGAAAUGUCUAUUCGUUUUUAUCUUCCUUUUUAUUUCUAAUCCUCUCUGUAUUUUUCAUUUAUUAAAUCAUCAACCUAUUACUGAAAACCGAUAAUAAUACCUAGAACUAAUUAUAGGAGAAGAACAAAUUGAAUUGCAGUCGCAAUUACAGUUUUAUCAAAAGUCCAUUUAGAAUAUUAUUUUGUAAAAAUUCAAUUAAUCAAACAUUUUUCUGUUUCAUUUUAGAUUAAACAAAUCUAUUGCCAUCAUUAGUGAAUUCUUGGGUAACUGUUCGAUAAAAUUUUAAAUCAAUGUAACCCAAAUCCUAGGUUUGAAAAUUUUGUAUUUUAUUUAUUAUAGGCCAAUUAAACCUCUGAAGUUAAAAAAAGCUUAA